CCUACGGGAGGCAGCAGUGAGGAAUAUUGGUCAAUGGGCGAGAGCCUGAACCAGCCAAGUAGCGUGAAGGAUGACUGCCCUACGGGUUGUAAACUUCUUUUAUAAAGGAAUAAAGUGAUGCACGUGUGCCUUUUUGUAUGUACUUUAUGAAUAAGGAUCGGCUAACUCCGUGCCAGCAGCCGCGGUAAUACGGAGGAUCCGAGCGUUAUCCGGAUUUAGUGGGUUUAAAGGGAGCGUAGGUGGGUUGUUAAGUCAGUUGUGAAAGUUUGCGGCUCAACCGUAAAAUUGCAAUUGAUACUGGCAGUCUUGAGUACAGUAGAGGUAGGCGGAAUUCGUGGUGUAGCGGUGAAAUGCUUAGAUAUCACGAAGAACUCCGAUUGCGAAGGCAGCUUACUAAACUGCAACUGACACUGAUGCUCGAAAGUGUGGGUAUCAAACAGGAUUAGAUACCCGUGUAGUC
rnacentral:rRNA from 1 species